rnacentral:rRNA from 1 species
GACGAACGCUGGCGGCGUGCUUAACACAUGCCAGUCGAACGGAAAGGCCCUGCUUUUGUGGGGUGCUCGAGUGGCGAACGGGUGAGUAACACGUGAGUAACCUGCCCUUGACUUUGGGAUAACUUCAGGAAACUGGGGCUAAUACCGGAUAGGAGCUCCUGCUGCAUGGUGGGGGUUGGAAAGUUUCGGCGGUUGGGGAUGGACUCGCGGCUUAUCAGCUUGUUGGUGGGGUAGUGGCCUACCAAGGCUUUGACGGGUAGCCGGCCUGAGAGGGUGACCGGCCACAUUGGGACUGAGAUACGGCCCAGACUCCUACGGGAGGCAGCAGUGGGGAAUAUUGCACAAUGGGCGGAAGCCUGAUGCAGCAACGCCGCGUGCGGGAUGACGGCCUUCGGGUUGUAAACCGCUUUCGCCUGUGACGAAGCGUGAGUGACGGUAAUGGGUAAAGAAGCACCGGCUAACUACGUG